UACGUAGGGGGCAAGCGUUGUCCGGAAUUAUUGGGCGUAAAGAGCGCGUAGGCGGUCCGAUAAGUCGGCUGUGAAAGUCUAGGGCUCAACCCUGGAAAGCCGGCCGAUACUGUCGGACUAGAGUCCGGAAGAGGCAAGUGGAAUUCCCGGUGUAGCGGUGAAAUGCGCAGAUAUCAGGAGGAACACCCGUAGCGAAGGCGGCACUCUGGGCCGAUACUGACACUGAGGAGCGAAAGCGUGGGGAGCGAACAGG
rnacentral:rRNA from 1 species